GAUGAAGAACGCAGCGAAAUGCGAUAAGUAAUGCGAAUUGCAGAAUUCCAGUGAGUCAUCGAAUCUUUGAACGCACAUUGCGCCCUUUGGUAUUCCGAAGGGCAUGCCUGUUCGAGCGUCAUUGCAACCCCUCAAGCACAGCUUGUGUGUUGGGCUCUCGUCCCCUGUGGACGGGCCUGAAAUGCAGUGGCAGCACCGAGAUACCGGUGUCUGAGUGUAUGGGCAUUGAUCAUCACUCGAUAGACCCGAUCGGCGCUGACCGUCAAACCACGAUUCCUCGGAAUCAUCCAGUUUUGACCUCGGAUCAGGUAGGAAUACCCGCUGAACUUAAGCAUAUCAAUAAGCGGAGGA
rnacentral:misc_RNA from 1 species